rnacentral:lncRNA from 1 species
CUCUCUAUGGUGUCUGUCUUACCAUUCAAAACAGAACAUUGCUUUCCACCUAGACUUUUAUUAUAAAAUUAUUGUUAUUCUAAUGUGUUUAAAAAUCGUUCAUAUAGCUUUUAAGCAACUCAAGUAUUCUUUUGUAACUUGAAAAAAAAAAAAAAAACAGAAGAAAUCACUCAGAAUCUAGCUUUAUCUUUUCUGACCACAUAAUACCUAACACUCUUGUUUUUCACAUGUCUCUAUUAAACAAAUAAGCAAUAUUUCCAUAAGACAGGCAAUAUUCCAAAAAGUCAUAGUCAUGUUUCUGAAGAUUAAAAAGAUAAUGCCCUCAAAAUAACGUCCAAUAGAGAAAGGAAAAUAAAUAAAGUAAAAUGUUGUUCUCUAAAAAACAAAACCACACUUGUGUAGCUUGAUUAGCUAACUGUAACUUCCUGAAUGUGGAGUACUGAACAUCAAGGGCCUGAAUUACUUACAUCUAUCGUUAGUCUCCUGAGAAGGUAUUUAUUACCUAACUCUGUAUCUACCCAACAGCCUUCUGAUUAUAAAGCUGAAUCUUUGGAAUGUACUAACUUAGAGUACUAGCUUCCAUCAAUCCAAAAGUUUAAAAUGUCAUUAGACCGAUCAGAAACCUGGAAAAGAACUACUUUACUUGGUUAUAAACUGUUUACUAGAGGUCCCCAUCAAUGUAUUUGGUAUACACCAAGUUAAGACUGUAUUUACUCUGAGGGUAUAAUAGCUCAUGUAAUCACUAUGUAAUGGGAAGGAUGAGAAUGCCCUAAGUCUCUGUUGGAAUUGUAAUCAAUUUUCAAUACAUUGGAUGAAUGUCCUCAUGCCAAUUUCCGGUCUAGUCCUUUGUGAAAUGAAUCUCCAAGGUGGAAUUUCUGAUAGUUCUUCAUUAGCAGGUAUCAACAAAUUUUUAACUUAUAAAAGGCUUUUUUGUCUCCAUAAGUGACAACUUAGGUUUGGAAUUAAUGCAUAGACACAACAAUCAAUCAAUUUUUCAAACUGGAAGCCCACAAACACCCUUCCCUCCAUGUCCCAGAUUUUUCUUCAUUAUCUGUCUGCAUAUGUUUUGGAUAAAUUCAGGAGAAAUUUUAGGAAUCUACAAGGAGCCUCUGUCCUUGCACUUUGAAGCCUUUUAAGAAGUCAGGCAUGCCAAGCAGUGGUGGCGCACGCCUUUGAACCCAGACAGAUUUCUGAGUUCAAGACCAGCCUAGUCUACAGAGUGAGUUCCAGGGCAGCCAGGAUUGUACAGAGAAACCCUACCUUGAAAAAAAAAAAAAAAGUCAGGCGUGGUGGACCACACCUAUAAUCCUAGGUAUUCCAGAGUCUGAAAUAAAAGGAUCCUCUCAGCCAGGAGCAGGGACUGGGAGAGACAACAAGGUGAAGCCUGUCAAAAGUGGAGGAAAGAAAGCCAGGGAGGGAAACAGCAGAGAAAAGGCAAGACAAUGGAAACUACACAACGCUCUCCUAAGAGACAUGUGUAGUUUUGAAAUAAGCUAUGAAAACAUUGGGGUUUUUUUGUAGCUCUAUAUGUAUAUAUAUAUAUAUAUACAUACAUAUACAUAUACAUAUAUGUGUGUGUGUAUAUAUAUAUAUAUAUAUAUAUAUAUAUCUCACAUCCAAACAUAUCAAUACUAAGAAAUGCUAGCCAAACAGAGUGAUUCAAUGUCAGCCUGAGCUACACAGUGAAUUUAAGGUGAGCAACUUAGCUCAAGAAAAAUACUAAAAUUUAAAAAGAACUUGGCAUGUACCUCAAUAGUAGAGCACUUAUUUAGUAAUAUGCAAGGCCCUGGGUUCAAUGCCCGGCAUUACUAAAAACUGUAUAGCUAAUCUGUAGAUAUAUAUUUCCUACCAAAGAGCCGGGUGUGGUGGCGCACGCCUUUAAUCCCAGCACUUGGGAGGCAGAGGCAGGCGGAUUUCUGAGUUCCAGGGCAGCCUGGUCUACAAAGCGAGUUCCAGGACAGCCAGAGCUAUAUAGAGAAACCCUGUCUCGAAAAACCAAAAAAAAAAAAAAGAGAGAGAGAGAGACGUUCCACUUUGCAUUGUCACUUUCACAUCUUGAACUAGAUGCACAGAGGCAUCCCAGAAAAGAGUGCCCAUAAACCACCCAUAAGCACCCACAAGAAAAAGCAAUUAACAAUCACACAGCACAAAAAUCACACAGAACUACCUGCACAGGUGAAUAACCACCAAUACACCUAAGAAACCCACCUGCCUCUGCCUCAUAUUUUUAAUUCUUAUCGAGAAAAUCUUUGCUGUCACUGAGCAAGCUUGGUGGGCAACACCUGUAAUCCAAACACUUGGUAGACUUAGGUGAACAGUAUGCUUUGAGUUCAGAAACAAAUUGGGUCACACAGUGAGUUCCAGGCAGCCUGAGCUACAAAGUAAGGCCACCUCAAAAGGAAAUGAAAACACUUUUUAAAAUUAGAUUGACUUAAAGAUUAUUGCUAUUGCCUUAGUGAAUGUACAAAAUGUCCUAAAAGCAUUUAGAAAGAACGAACAAAUAAACAAAUGAACUAAAGAAUGAAUGAAAGAAAGAAAAUUAUACACUUUAUCAACUAGGACUUAAUAAAAGGGCUACCUACUUUUAAAAAAAUCAGUAGUUCAGAGCCCAGAAAAAUUAAAGUUUUACACCAGAUUUUUCCCAAAUAAAUGAUCUUUAGUAUUCUUAAAUAGAGAAAAGUACACAGUAACCUCAUUUAAUUUAUAAUCUUCUGGCAACUAUCAUCAGGACAUUUGAACAUUAUGGACUAAUUUUUGUUAUUAAUAUUUAAAACUCUAUUCAAUUUUUAUGUGUUUUGUCUGAAUAUAUGUAUGUGAAUUACUUGCAUGCCUGGUGCCUAAGGAGGUCAGAAGGGGGCAUAGUAUUCUCUGGAACUGGAGUUCGAGUUAACGAGCUACCAUGUGGGUGCCUGUGGUCAAACCCGGAUUCUUUGGGAGAACAACAAGUGCUCUU